rnacentral:rRNA from 1 species
GGACGAACGCUGGCGGCGUGCUUAACACAUGCAAGUCGAACGGAAAGGCCCUGCUUUUGUGGGGUGCUCGAGUGGCGAACGGGUGAGUAACACGUGAGUAACCUGCCCUUGACUUUGGGAUAACUUCAGGAAACUGGGGCUAAUACCGGAUAGGAGCUCCUGCUGCAUGGUGGGGGUUGGAAAGUUUCGGCGGUUGGGGAUGGACUCGCGGCUUAUCAGCUUGUUGGUGGGGUAGUGGCUUACCUAGGCUUUGACGGGUAGCCGGCCUGAGAGGGUGACCGGCCACAUUGGGACUGAGAUACGGCCCAGACUCCUACGGGAGGCAGCAGUGGGGAAUAUUGCACAAUGGGCGGAAGCCUGAUGCAGCAACGCCGCGUGCGGGAUGACGGCCUUCGGGUUGUAAACCGCUUUCGCCUGUGACGAAGCGUGAGUGACGGUAAUGGGUAAAGAAGCACCGGCUAACUACGUG